rnacentral:rRNA from 1 species
CGGCGAGCGAACGGGAAUUAGCCCAAACCAGUAAUGUUUCGGCAUUACUGGGGUUGUAGGACUACGUUGUGGACUUGUAUUUUAUAGUGGAAUUACUUGGAAAGGUAAGCCAUAGGAAGUGAUAGCCUUGUACACGAAAUAGAAUACAUACCUAGUAGUAUCCUGAGUACCGCGGAACAUGUGAAAUUCUGUGGGAAUCUGCCGGAACCAUCCGGUAAGGCUAAAUACUCCUGAGAGACCGAUAGUGAACUAGUACCGUGAGGGAAAGGUGAAAAGUACCCUGAACAAGGGAGUGAAAAAGAACCUGAAACCAUAUGCUUACAAGCGGUCGGAGCCUACGGGUGACGGCGUGCCUUUUGCAUAAUGAGCCUACGAGUUACUCCUCGUUAGCGAGGUUAAGGAUUUAAGAUCCGGAGCCGAAGCGAAAGCAAGUCUGAAUAGGGCGAUUAGUUAGCGGGGGUAGACGCGAAACCGUGUGAUCUACCCAUGAUCAGGUUGAAGCUUCGUUAAACCGAAGUGGAGGACCGAACCAGUUCAC